CACAUUUGUCUGCGAGUAUAUUAGUGUCCCCUUGUCCUGACAUCAUACGAUUGUUGUAAAUGAAUCUCACCUUCAUACGCGUGAUGGUGUUUAUUUCUAAUCUUCCAUGGAAAUGCCUGGACAACAGAGAGAAAAAAAAUCUGUUUUGAUGAAUUCCACCUGAUCUAUGCAAACAUGGAAAAGUGGACCUUGAAAUGUUCAUGCUAAUAAAUAAUGAUGAUGAUGUUGUUGUUAUUAUUAUUAUUCCAAAUUCUUCCGAGGUCAACCUUGCUUUUUAUCCUUUUGGGGUUGAUAAAUUAAGUACCAGUGAAACUGGGGUUGAUGCAAUCAACUUUCUCCCUCCUCCAAAUUUUCAGGCUUUAUGCCUAUAGUAAAAAGGAUUAUUAUUAUUAUUAUUAUUAUUAUUAUGGCAGCGAGUUGGCAGAAUCGUAAACACAGCGAGCGAAAUGCUUCACAGUAUUUCGUCUACCUUUAUGUUCUGACUUCAAAUUCCGCCGAGGUAGACUUUGCCCUUCAUCCUUUCAGGGCUGAUAAAAUAAAUACCAGUUACACACUGGGGUCAAUGUAAUCAACUUACCCCCUCCCCUGAAUUGGCUGGCUUUGUGCCAAAAUUUUAAAUCAUUAUUAUUAUUAUUGUAAUUUAAUCAUUAUUAUUAUUAUUAUCAUUAUUAUUGUUGUAUGAAAAUGUCUAUUGUUAUUUUCUUCUUUUCUCUUACAGUAAAGGAUUAUACUCGACUGAGGAUUGCUGGGAUAGCAGCUGGUAUCACUUCCUGCAUACUUGUUCUUAUAUUAGUUAUGUGUGUCAUUUUUGUAUAUGUCAAAUAUCGAGAUCGUAUUCCCUUGAUGGCCAUAAACUCACAGGAUUAAUGUCGGUUCAAUGAGAGAAGAUUGAGAAAAGCGAAACGUGACCAGAACGCGCAAAAUUAAGGCCAUAAGUAACCAUGUUGACCACAAAGCUAGAUGACCAAUUACAUAAAAAGGAAAAAGCCCUGAAUUGUCCGUUGACCACUCAUCCAAGACAAGUUGCCAGAAAAUGACCAUAAAGAUCCAGUGAAUUCUAGCAUGAAAGGGAGACAUAUAUACACUGACCAAUCACAUGACUGACCCCCAGAGAGGAUAUCCAAUCACAACCAAACUAACACUAACAUGUGAUAACAACAACAACAACAUCAUCAUCAUCAUCAAAAAUAGCAACAGCUAUAAAACCAUGGUGGACAGAGACAAUAGGCACGACUAAAAACCACAAGAAUUAUUAUUAUUAUUAUCAUUAACAAUGGUGGUGGGUUGGCAGUAUUGUUAGGGCACUGGGCAAAAUGCCUUACACUAUUUCUUCCGAUUAUUCACAUCCUGAGUUCAAAUCCUGCUGAGGGCAACUUUGACUUUCAUUCCUCUGGGUGGGCGGCAGAAGUGUCCGAUAAAAUUAGAGUACCAGUCAAGUACUGGCAGUCAGUGGUAUCAACACUAACUCCGUCCUCCCCCUCACAAUUACUGGCUUCAUGCAGAAAACAAAUAAGGUUUAAUUAUUAUUAUUAUUAUUAUUAAUAUUAUUAAUAUUAUUAAUAUGGUGGUGGCGGUGAGCUGCAGACUCAUUAGCAUGCUGGAAAAAAUACUUAGCAGUAUUUUUUCUGGCUCUUUAAUUAUGUUCUGAGUUCAGAUUCCACCCAGGUCAACUUUGCCUUUCAUCCUCUUGGAGAGGUCGAUAAAAUAAAGUACCAGUUAAACACUGAGGGUCGAUGUAAUUGACUUGCCCCCCCCCCCCUCAGAAUUUCUGGCCUGGUGCCAAAAAUUUAAAACACCAUCAUCAUUAUUAUUAUUAUUAUUAUUGUUAAGGUGGCGAGCUGGCAGAAUCGUUAGCAUGCCGGGCGAAAUAUGUUUAGCUGUAUUUCGUCUGCCACUACAUUCUGAGCUCAAAUUCCACUGAGGUCGACUUUGCCUUUUGUCCUUUCGGGGGUCGAAAAAUUAAGUACCAGUGAAAUACUGGAGUCGAUGUAAUUGACUCAUCCCCUUCCCCAAAAUGGCUGCCCUUUGUAGCAAAAUUUGAAACCAUUUUUAUUUUUAUUAUUAUUAUUAUUAUUAUUAUUAUUAUAUUAUUAUUAUUAUUGUUGGUACACUAGCGUCAGAAUCUGCAGAAAGGGGAACUAAAUACUGCUUGCAGUGUUUAGUAUACCAUUUCUGUGUUCCGAGUUCAAAUCCCGCUGAAGUCAACCUUGCCCUUUGCCCUUUCUAGGACGGGGAUGGGUGGGCAAUAAAACAGAGUACCAGUUUAUGUACUGGUGUCCAUUUACACAACUGCUACCCACCCCUCGCCCUCAUUUCCUCUCCCCCACUUUGUGUCCUAUUCUCCUUUACUACUACUACUACUACUGCUGCUUCUACUAUUACUACUACUACUACUGUUGUUGUUGUUGUGCUUGUUAUAUUUUGUUGUUGUUGUUGUUAUUAUUAAUAUUAUGGUAGCGAGCUAGCAGAAUCGUUAGCAAGUCAGAUAAAAUGCAUGAGUGGCAUUUCAUCCAGCUUCUUUACAUUCUAAGUUCAAAUUCCAUCGAGGCCCACUUUGCCCUUCGCCCUUUCAGGGUCGAUAAAAUAAGCACCAAUUGAACACCAAGGAGGGUCGGGGUUGAUGUAAUCAACUUACCUUCCUCUCAAAAUUGCUGGCUUUGUACUGCUAAAAUUAGAAAGAAUUAUUAUUUAUUAUUGUUAAUAUUAUACUAAACAAAAGAGGUCACUAAUCGGUUUCUGUCUUCCCUCGACAAGAACAAUCCCCUCUACCUUUUCCGUUUUUUUUUUUACCUAAAUCGGUUUCUGAAUAUCGCAAAUUAUAUUUCAAACUGUAAAGGCAUGCUGUCACAACAUCUAAUCUUUCCCCUGCCCCCUUGAACCAACCUCCACCACAAACAAAUAUCAGGCUUCCUCUAAGAAGCUCAAUUAAUAUUUUUUAUUAAGGUGGCAUGUUAGCAGGAUAGUUAGAACACCAGACAAAAUGUUCUGUGGCAUUUCUUCCGACUCUUUAGAUUCUGAGUUCAAAUCUCACUGAAGUCAACUUUGCCUUUCGUUCUACCAGGGUCGAUGAAAUCAAGUACUAGGGUUGAUGGUAUUGUACCGAUUAACCCUUCCCCUCAAAAAUGUAGAACUUAUGUCUAAAUUAGAAACAACUGACAGUAAGCUGGUGGUAUCAUUAGUGCGGCAGCAAAAAAAUUAUUCACACUUUUACAUUCUGAGUUCAAAUCCUGCUGUAGUCAGCUUUGCUUUUCAUCCCUCAGGGGCCAAUAAAAUAAAGUACCAGUUGAAGUAUUGGGGUUGAUGGUAUUAACUAAACUCCUUUAUUUAAAAUUGCUGGUCUUGAGUAUUAAUUAUAAACUAGGGCAGUGGACUGGUAGAAUCGGCAGAGCGUCAGAAAAAAUGCUGCAUGUUAUUUCUCCUAACUCUUCACAUUCUGAGUUCAAAUCCUGAUGAGGCUAGCUUUGCUUUUCAUUCCUCUGAGGGCGAUGAAAUAAAGUACUACACAAGAAUUGAGACUGAUGACAUCAACUGACCCCUUCCCCUCAAAACUACAGGCCUUGAAUUUAAACCAGAAACGUUUAUUAUUUACUUUUAUCAUUUUCUUCUGUGGCCUUUUUUUGUACAGAUAAAAAAAAUUGUUUUUUCUUAGUUAUGAAACCUCAGAUUCUGAGUUCAAAUUCCAUCUUGCAUCAGCUUUUUUCUUGUGGGUUAGGAAUGAUUGCUAAAAAUUAAAUCCAAUUUAAAAUGACAGGAACACCUAUCCCUCCCUUGCCCUUCCUCAGAACCCAACCCUAGCCUUUUGUGUAAAUUAUAUUAAUUAUUAUUUUUAUUAUUUUUAUAUUUUUAAUUAUUAUUAUUUUUUUUAGUUUUUUAUGUCUUUGUACCAAUAGAAUAUCUAUUAUUAUUAUUAUUAUUGUUAUUGUUAUUGGCUUACAGCACUUUAACCAUUAUGAUUCUAAUUUCAAAUCUAUCUCACCCCCAAGGUCCUAUUUGCCUUUCACCCAUUCAGAAAGGGGUGGGAGAUGAAUAAGAACCCGCAACCGUAAAUAUAUUUGGAGUUGGGUGAACAGGGAGAAAAGCAGGUGAAAUAUGGAAUCACGCAGAAGGAAUUUAAUCAACUUACCUUUAUUUUACACACACCCCACCACCUUCUACAUGACUGUGAUUUGAUGCCACUAUAACUAAUAAUUGUUGUUGCUAUUAUUAUUAUUAUUAUUUAAGGUGCCAAGCUGACAGAAUUGACAAAAUAUCAGGAAAGGAAAUAUGCCCUGCAAUAUUUUUUUCUGGCCCUUUAUGUUUUGAGUUCAAAUUCUUCUCAGGUUAACUUUGCUUUUCAAUCCCUUUGGUGUGGGUUGAGGGUGUCAGGAAAUAAAAAGACAAUGCAGAUACCAGGAUCAGUGUAGUCGACUGAGCCCCCCCCCUCCACUAAAAUUUCUGGGCUUUGUGCCUAUAUUAGACUUAAAAAAUUAUUAACAGCUAUACAUUCUGGGUUCAAAUCCUGCCGAGGUCAACUUUUCCUUUUAUCCCUUCUGGGUUGAUGAAAUAAGUACCAGUUGUGCACUGAGGUUGAUUGUAAUCAACUCGCGAAGAAAAAAAUAAGAGCCAGGACAACACUGGGGUUGAUUACAUCAAACUAACUCCCCUCCCUUAAAAUUUCUGGCCUUGUGCCGGAAAUUUGAGACCCUUAUUGUUAUUAUUAAUAGUUAUAGUGAUAUUAUUUUUUAGGAGACCAAAAAUGACAAAAAGAAAAAAAAGGAAAAAAAAAAAACGGACUCUAACAAAAAGAGAAAAAGAAAAAACAAUGCAUGUGUGUGGAUUUGUAUACGUUAACAUUUUUGUAUAUGAGAAAAAUAUUAAAAAAGAACUGUUAUUUAUUUAAAUUUUUUUUAUUACCCACAAUG